UCCAGCAGCCAUAUCGCCCUGCAGCCCAAGACUGGUUGCCCACUGAAGCUUAGCAGGGUUGAGCCUGGUCAGUACCUGGAUGGGAGACCUCCUGGGAAAACUAGGUUGCUGCUGGAA
rnacentral:rRNA from 1 species